GCGGGCGAAGUGUUGUGGUGGCACUGAAGCCUUCCAAGCUUCAAGGGCGGGUUCGAUUCCCGUCGCCCGCU
rnacentral:tRNA from 1 species